rnacentral:rRNA from 1 species
AACGAACGCUGGCGGCAUGCCUAACACAUGCAAGUCGAACGAGAUCUUCGGGUCUAGUGGCGCACGGGUGCGUAACGCGGGGGAAUCUGCCCUUUGGUUCGGAAUAACAGUUGGAAACGACUGCUAAUACCGGAUGAUGACGAAAGUCCAAAGAUUUAUCGCCAGAGGAUGAGCCCGCGUAGGAUUAGCUAGUUGGUGUGGUAAAGGCGCACCAAGGCGACGAUCCUUAGCUGGUCUGAGAGGAUGAUCAGCCACACUGGGACUGAGACACGGCCCAGACUCCUACGGGAGGCAGCAGUGGGGAAUAUUGGACAAUGGGCGAAAGCCUGAUCCAGCAAUGCCGCGCGAGUGAUGAAGGCCUUAGGGUUGUAAAGCUCUUUUACCCGGGAUGAUAAUGACAGUACCGGGAGAAUAAGCUCCGGCUAACUCCGUGCCAGCCGCCGCGGUAA